AGCGUGCCGUUGCUCUUCUGCACAGACUUCUCCGUCAAUAAUAACCGUCUGUUCAAAUCGUCGGCCUAAAAUCCGUUCGACAUACUCUCAAACGCGGAGAUCCGCGGAGACUUCUGUUCUUGAAUACCGGCCAAACGUAAUCGUAUACGCGCACGCAAAUGUAAAUCUUUCACCGAUCAAUUCCGUCAAAACGCGCGGACGCCGCCGAUUGGUCGGUUCCGUCGGAC